GGGUACUUAAAGCUCAUUACGCGCAGUGUUCAGUACGGAGCUCACCGCGCGCACACUAGAUACAUUGAGAUUACAACGCCCGCAGUGCUGAGUAUGGAACAUAAACAACAGUUCCCUACGCGUGGAGAGCUCUGUACGGGACACAAACAGCACUCGGAGCCCACUGCGCGUGUAGUGCACUACACGAGCUAUCAACGCGCGUAGUACUUAGCUCAGAACGCGCGCUGCAUUUAGAGCUCACAAGACGCGCAGAGCUCGGUGCGCGCACACUGCACCGAGCUUAGUUAGUGCGCAGAGCUCAGUGCGCGCACACUGCACCGAGCUUAGUUAGUGCGCAGAGCUCAGUGGGUGCACACUGCACCGAGCUUAGUUAGUGCGCAGAGCUCAGUGCGGCACACUGCACC
rnacentral:misc_RNA from 1 species